CUCUCCAGCCACCAUCCUUCAUUUCCGUCUCCAUUUUUGCCUUUAAUUCUUUACAUUUGGGCUUUCUAUUCUCGUUUAGAAAUGCAAGCAACGAUGUUUCUGAGAGCUGUUCCAGCUUUUUCUCUGUCAACCAGACAGGGAGAUGCUGCUUUUAGCCCCAGCAAUGGCCUUUCUUCUUCUUCUCUCCCAGUCCCGACUUUAUUGCCAAGAACGCGAAGAAACAGUCUUGUGGUUUCUGCUGUGGAGCAGAGCGGUUUGCAGUUGACUGGUGUAGUAUUCCAGCCAUUUGAAGAGGUCAAGAAGGAAGCUUUUUUGGUUCCUAUUGCUCCUAAUGUUUCUCUUGCUCGC
rnacentral:misc_RNA from 1 species